UCGCUUUGGCAGCACAUAUACUAAAAUUGGAAUGAUAAAGAGAAGAUUAGCAUGGCCCCUGCGCAAGGAUGACACGCAAAUUUGUGAAGCAUUCCAUAUUUUU
ensembl:snRNA U6 U6 spliceosomal RNA